GUCUUAUCAAGAGCAGGUGGAGGGACAAGCCCUAUGAAGCCCGGCAACCGACUCGCAUAUAGAAUGCGAGCACGGUGCUAAUUCUUGCAGCGUCAGCUGACAGAUAAGAG
rnacentral:ncRNA from 2 species